CAGUAGCCGCGGUAAUACGUAGGUGGCAAGCGUUGUCCGGAAUUAUUGGGCGUAAAGCGCGCGCAGGUGGUUUAAUAAGUCUGAUGUGGAAGCCCACGGCUCAACCGUGGAGGGUCAUUGGAAACUGUUAAACUUGAGUGCAGGAGAGAAAAGUGGAAUUCCUAGUGUAGCGGUGAAAUGCGUAGAGAUUAGGAGGAACACCAGUGGCGAAGGCGGCUUUUUGGCCUGUAACUGACACUGAGGCGCGAAAGCGUGGGGAGCAAACAGGAUUAGAUACCCCGGUAGUCCCUGUCUCUUAUAA
rnacentral:rRNA from 1 species